CGUUGCAAGCUGUUUUUUUUUAUUAUGAUUUGAUGCGCUGUGUAACAGAGUUGAUGAAGUAAGUAUGAGAAAAUUGCAUUAAAAGCCAAUUAUUUUUUGAGCAUUAGUUUUCAAAUGUAUGCUGUUUGUAAUUUAAAUGUACGAGUAAUUAUUUUUUUGUUGUUACUCCAGCUACAUUUAUGAACAAUAAAAAAAUGAGAUUCAAAAUUAUGAUUUCUUUAUACUUGCCUUUUUUUUAAUUGGAAAUUUACCUGGUGAUUGUCUAUUGAUUCACUAAAGUAGAAUCUAUUGAGAUAACGGGAUAGACAAAGAGGAAGAUGAAACAGCACCUACACCAUCUACGCCUUCUACAUCGAUUUUACCGACUCAGGGAUAUUAUGGUCCAGGAAACCCAUACUACCUACCAUUUAUGUUGCCUCAAAAUGCAUAUCCAAAUCCAUAUACAUGCACUUGGGGUAGCCAGCUUCCAUCGAUGCCAUCUUUUGAACAAAUGAUGCCCUACCCUCCGUCGAGUAAUCCGGAGGAGUCCACACGGGUUCAACAUACCUAUUAGAUAUACUUCUUUUAAUUGUUGUUAGGUUUAUUUAUUUAUUUUUUAUUUUUAUAUAUAUGUAUUGAAUUUAUUUGAGCACCGUGCCUAAUUACAACAUCCAUCGAUGCCACCAUCGAGUAAUCUGGAGGAGUCAAUAAGAUUUGAAAAGACUCCCCAACUAGUAAGUGAAUCAUCAACUGUGCCAUUGCCAUUGGGUGCUGAAAGUGAAAAGAAUUUUGGAGAAAGUUCGUCGGACGUAAAUAAAGUGGCAGAGGCCGAGGAAACUAAUGAAGUAUCUGAUGAUGAUGAACGAGUUGAGGAGCCAAAACCUGGUAUGG